UGUUAGAAUUGGGCAUUGGAUUAUACGUGGUUUGUUAUAUUGAUAUUGAUACUAUACAUAAGUCUACCAUUAUUCAUUGUGUAAACGACAGGAACGGAGUUACGGUCAAUCAUCAGGUUUAUUUAAACCCAAUUCAGAUUCAAGCCAAUUUUGAAUUAUAUGUAUUUACCUGUACAGUUGGAAUAUAUAAACUGAUACUACAAUCAUAAUAUAUAAGUGACUAUAUCACUAUAGAAGUAUAUAAUUAUAACAUAACAUACUUUAUAUUAUAUUAUAUACCAUACUUUUCCUUUUUUCCUUUUUGCUGUAUAUAAUAGACAUCUGUGCAUAUAGCUGGCUGUGGGGACUGCCUGCUUGGAUUCCGAAUGUAGAUCCCAGAAGACUGUGUCCAUGUUUCCAUAUUUGCAGAGGUCCAGAGUUUUCAGUAAGAUCCAGACAUUUGCAGGUAUUUUAGGUGAAACAUUCUAAUCCUUAGAGGAAAGCAAUGACAAGCCUCUUCGAGCACUUACCACCCCCCACUCCCUGGCAAUAAAUCCCUUUGAUAGGUUUGCCUUAGGGUCACCAUAAGCCAGAAAUGGUAUAAACCACACAAGAGCAGCAAAAUGUAAAGGCAAACUGACGGUGACAUUUCCCGUUUUCUCUCUUGCUGUCCCAGUACGGCAGGACAGAACAGGGACAAUGAAGCUCUAGGUUUGAUUUCAAGCAACAGAUGACAUGAACUUUUCAUCAACAUGUUGACACAUGAGAAAAAUAAAGCCUCAGAGCCAAAGCAUUGGCAUCUGGUGGAGAGAAGAUGGGAGUUUUAUGUGACUGGGAAGGUGAUGAAAGGAGCAGAUUGGCCUGAGGAGCUAUAAAGAGAGAGUUCAUGGUCAUGGCUACUGUUUUCCUCUCUUCCCUUUGAAAGCCAUUCAUAAAGUAUGCAAUUGCUUCUCUGUUCCAUAAGUGGCACCAAAUUCCCUUCUCUAUUUGGAGGAAGGAAUCUACCCCACCAGUUUUCAGCUUGGAGACUUGCAAGGCGACUAAGUGAAGGCUAAAGAGACCCAGCACUUUAAGCCGCUCCUCAGAGGGAUUCAUCCACUCCAGACCUUUGACGAUUUCACUGACAUGGCUCAGUGCUAUUUUUUGUGUCAGGAGUUACCUGAGAAACUGCAAGUCACUUCUGGUGUGAGAGGAUUGGCUGUCUGCAAGGGCGUUGCCCAGAGGACUCCUGGAUGUUUUGAUGUUUUACCAUCCUUUUGGGAGGCUUCUCUCAUGUAACUGCAGCUGGAACUGACAGAGGGAGCUCAUCCAUGCUCUCCCCGAAUUCAAACCGGCAACCUUCAGGUUAGCAAUGCAACCUUCAAGUCAGAAGUCCUGCCAGCAGAAAGGUUUAACCCAUUGCACCAUCAGGGGUUAUGGUAUAAUGGGAGUUUUAGUUUUGAAAGGUCCUUAGCCUUCUCUGCUAAAGAGUACUGGACCCUCACUGAACUGCAAAUCUCAGGAUUUCAUAGCAUUGAGUGAUGACAGUUGAAAUGGUGUCAAGCUGUGUUCAUUCUUCAGUACAGAUGAACCCAAGUGUCAUGAGUUGGGACUCACACCCCUUCCACACAGCUGUAUAAAAUCCACAUUAAACCAAAUUAUAUGGCAAUGUAGACUCAGAUAAUCCAGGUCAAAGCAGAUAUGGUGGAUUAUCUGCCUUGAUAUUCAGGGUUAUAUGGCUGUGUGGAAGGGCCUCCAGACUCUGAGAAGGAGAAGAACCUUGCAGCUUACUCUGUGGCAGUCCCAGAAAAACAAUUGCUAUGAACAAACCUUUGAAACAGCUGGAACAAUAAGAGGAAGACAAGUGGUCCUCAAGUCUUCAGAACUAGAGAAGGAAGCAGAGAAGUGCUAGUCUCUGGGGCUCUUAAUUAUGGGCAAGGGGCUGUAGACAAUUUAAGAAACAGAUCUGAUUUCUGUUUCUUGGUGGAAACAGUUGUCUGCUUUCCGCCGCUGACUUGAUGUUCCUACAUUCCUGCUCUAGAUUCCUGAGUUCCUGGCUUUUGGAUUGGUUGAUCUUGCUUGAUUCUUUGACCUUCUGACUGACUGAUGAUCUUGUUUGACUCACAGACCUCAAGGUGGUUUGACUUCUUGCCUUUGUAUCAUCCUUGCACACAGAUUCUUAUAGGAUGGAUAAGUCGCCUUGAAUCAUGAGUUCCCAUGGUGUUUGGUAUUCCCGUCUUUGUCAUCAGAAUGAUGUGUUCUUAUGGGCGUUCUCUGGCAGGGGAUGCAAAAAAGCAACAUUUAAUCUAGCCUGCCAGCUAGCCUGGAAGAAAAUGAAUGCAAAGCUGAAGGCAUCUGUUUUCACAGGGAAAAUGCUCCUCUGUUUGAUGGGCUGGGCUAUUCCAAAUGCAGUUUGAAAAUAAAGCAGUCUAAGGAUGGAACACAAUUCUUUAAACUGAAGCCAUGAGCUCUGGAAUAGUACAUCAUGAAUGUUGUUGCUAUGAACUUUCAAGUCAACUCUUCCAUAUGGAGACCCAACCAUAGUGUUUAUUGCCAAGCUAUAUUUAGCAGAAUUUUGCUAUACUAUUUCUACUGAGGCCGAAGGACCACAGUUUUUUCAAGGAUGCCCUGGGAUAUUCCAUGGCUGAGUUGGGAUUCAUACUCUGAUCUCCCUGAGUCCUCCCACAUGUUCCAGGGUUGAAAAGAGGCUGAAAUGUCCUGAAAGGAGGGAACUCUGUACACAGGCCAGCAACUGAAAAACAGGUGUGAUGGAAACCAUCAACAUUUCCCAUCCUCUUUCAUUGCCCAACCAUCCGCAGUCUCUUGUAUCCUAUGGGGUUCUAUGCAGAUCAAUAGAAUUCAACUGAAAGCAAUGGUUUUAACCUGGGUCACUGUCUCUUUUAUCCUCUAGGGUUCCAUGCAGAUCAAUAGGAUCCCAUGGAAAGCAAUAGUUUUAACCUGGACCACUGCCUCUUGUAUCUUCUGGGGUUUGAUGCAGAACCAUAAGAUCCCAUGGAAAGAAAUGGUUUUUAACUGGUGUCAUUCUCCUUUAAUCUAAGGGGCAUUGGGCAGGGCAAGGGAUCUCUUGCUUUUUGAAUAUUGUUGUUUCUCCUGAUUAAAAACAAAAAAGUAA